rnacentral:snRNA from 1 species
CAAAUCGUUCGUCUGACUUG